rnacentral:rRNA from 1 species
UGGGGAAUAUUGCACAAUGGGCGAAAGCCUGAUGCAGCGACGCCGCGUGUGGGAGGACGCCUUUCGGGGUGUAAACCACUGUUGCCCGGGACGAAUUGGCUGAUUCAUCAGCCUUGACGGUACCGGGUGAGGAAGCACCGGCUAACUCCGUGCCAGCAGCCGCGGUAAUACGGAGGGUGCAAGCGUUAAUCGGAAUUACUGGGCGUAAAGCGCGCGUAGGUGGUUUGUUAAGUCGGAUGUGAAAUCCCAGGGCUCAACCUUGGAAUGGCACCCGAUACUGGCAGGCUAGAGUUCGGGAGAGGAUGGUGGAAUUCCCAGUGUAGAGGUGAAAUUCGUAGAUAUUGGGAAGAACACCGAUGGCGAAGGCAGCCAUCUGGACCGACACUGACGCUGAGGCGCGAAAGCGUGGGGAGCAAACAGGAUUAGAUACCC